rnacentral:rRNA from 1 species
CACGUAGGGCGCAAGCGUUGUCCGGAAUUAUUGGGCGUAAAGAGCGUGUAGGCGGCCAUACAGGUCCGUUGUGAAAACUGGAGGCUCAACCUCCAGACGUCGACGGAAACCGUAUGGCUAGAGUCCGGAAGAGGAGAGUGGAAUUCCUGGUGUAGCGGUGAAAUGCGCAGAUAUCAGGAAGAACACCCGUGGCGAAGGCGGCUCUCUGGGACGGUACUGACGCUGAGACGCGAAAGCGUGGGGAGCGAACAGG